rnacentral:hammerhead_ribozyme from 1 species
AUCCAGCUGGCGAGUCCCAAAUAGGGCGAAAUGUGCGUCAAACUGGAU